UACGGGGGGAGCAAGGCGUUGUUCGGAUUUACUGGGCGUAAAGGGCGCAGGUAGGCGGUCGUGACAAGUCACUUGUGAAAUCUCCGGGCUUAACUCGGAACGGUCAAGUGAUACUGUCGGACUAGAGUACAGAAGGGGCAACUGGAAUUCUCGGGUGUAGCGGUGAAAUGCGCAGAGUAUCGGGAAGGAACACCAAUGGCGAAGGCAGCUCGCUGGGACGGUACUGACGCUGGAGACGCGAAAGCGUGGGGAGCAAACAGG
rnacentral:rRNA from 1 species